CGUAAAUUAAGAGAAGUGUACCGGGUAGAUAAACGAACAUAUAAAAAUUUUGGUCAUAAAAGAGAACCCGAACCACUGUUUACAGUUUUGUGGCAUGGAUUUCUUACAUUUUCUUUUAUUGGCAUGGGGAUUGAAUGGAAACGAAUGUAUCGAUUUUUCUUUGAUGAAGAGCCUGAAAGGAGUUCACUCACAGACUUAGAAUAGAUUUUAAUAAUUAGGUUCCAAUAUAUUGGUACUGUAGUAUGUAGUCCAAAUAUUAUAUUUAAGGAGAAGUCUUGGUUGGAGAUUGUGAUUUUAUUAUCAUUGAACCAUUAAGUAUCUGUGAUAUUAAUAUGGAUAAACUAAAAGGUUUUAUUCAGAGAACUAAAAACUUCUGAUAAUUUUUUUAAUUUGUUGUAAAGCUACAAGCCUAGAUCUUAUUUUGCAGAGAAUUUCAAAGGGCCUUUAUUAAAUAUUUUUUAAAAAUAUUUGUGGUAUGUCUAAGGCAUAAUGGGCAUUUUGUUAGGUCUUUAUGGCGCCUUGGUUUCCAUAACACCAAAAUCUUAACUUUAUUUAGACUGCUGAAGAAGCCAGAAUGUACUUAGAAUCAUUGUGAGAAAAAUUCUAUGACAAUGAUGAUGAGGAUUCAGCAGGUAUUGCCUAUUAUUGAUCUCAUGGAAAAUAAUGAAACUGUUCAACAAGAAACCAAGCAGGAGAGAAUUGCAAUGGAAAUUACACAAUCUUAAUCUUACAAAGUGGAAAAAGCACUUUGCAAUCAGAUUUACUUCAACUGGAUCCUCGCAUACAAUCCUUUGUUACCUGUUUUCUGUAGUGAUGGUGAACUGUUCCUCCAACCUAAAGGGAGGAUCCUCGACCAGUUUAACCACUGACUGG